rnacentral:lncRNA from 1 species
GGGGAGGAGAAAGCGACGGGUCUGCUCCACUUUUGGCUGCGUUACGCAAUCUUCGAAGUCUCCGUCUUUCGACUCUGUCGCCUGUCUGCAUCGCUGUUACAGUUACAAGACACUCGAACAAUGCACACAAAAAACAAAAUGGUAAUAAAGAAAGAAGCAAAAGUCGGGGACAGCGUCUCAGUCCCAGAGUGAGUAUUUCCCCAACCCCAAUAACCCACUGAGUGGAGUGACCCACCAGUGGUCAUCCCACGUUGUUGAUUGGAGUUUCAUUACCAACUCAGCGCUGGGUGAAAUGCGUUCAACAGAUAUAAAUCAAACGACCUCAGGCAAUGCAUCAAGUGAAGUAGCUACACUCGAAAAAAUUGGCAGCUAAUAUAAAGUUCAAGCAGUUUCUAGGUAAAGCGAAUCGCGUUGUCUCUUAAUUUAAUUUGUAAAAUAUAGGACAAAAUUCGUAUUAAGAAUGUAACUACAUUUAAAGAAGCAUAAGUUCUGAGGCAUUAAUGUUGGUUACUCAAAUUUUUGCAGUGUAUGUUUCGUCUCUCCCCUUGUAGCGCGCAGCAUCUUAAGUGCAUCUUGCUCUAUUGUUUUUUUUUUGGCUUACGACAAAUGCCACAGAUAUUGACAUUUUCCGUUUUCAGUUCGGUUCGAAAUCUCCAAAUUGACAUGAGAAACUCUUUUUCGGGAGAAGGGCCUUCGUCUUUCUACCUCUUUCUUCGCGUCUUUCUUCGAGUCUUUCUUUCGUUGAGUCUUUGUAUUCGCUUUGACAUUUUGUAAACACUUCCGCGUGCUCUGAUUGUUGUUGUGUUUUCGUAUGUCGCUUUAGUUGCUAUUAUUGUAAUUGAUGGUUACAUUUUGAAGACUGUAUUUUAUACGCGCAUAUGUGUGAGUGUGGUUGCAUUUAAUGACAGUUAUUUGUGGGUGAUUGUGCUUGAUGACAACCGUAUGAGGGGUUUUUGUCUAGCCAGGCCUUCGGAUAAAUCUUGCUUUAUUAAAAUAUUCACACGAUUUAUCAUCAACGAUUUUAGCUGGACAAUUUUAGCCUGAGUGCCCAAUUUGAGUUCAUAUUUUAACAUAAUUGGGGCCACAUCACUUAUGUAUGUGUAUAGAUAAAUAGAGAUCUCUCGAUUAAUGUUACAUAAGUAACCAUUUGUACAGAGUAUGUGUUGAAGUUAUAACUUAAGUCAUCAAGGGCAAACACAGUUGUUGUAUAAACAUACAUAAUUAUAGAUUCCUUUAAUAGUUUCUUUAGGCAGAAGGUUUUUCUUUUAUAACGCCUACUCAUUUAAUAUUUCCGUUUUUAUGGCUUGUAAGACUACCUCAACAAAUUCAUCAUCCUCGACCGCUUUUGUCAUUCAUCCCAUUUAGUACGCAUCGAAUUACCCGCGGCUUGUUCAGACACCCUUACGCACAUCCAUCCAUCUUUCUAUCUUUCUAUCUAUCUAUCCAUCUUAACAACCUACGACAAGAGUAAUUACAUUAAUCCACGGGCACGCGCCGCUUCCUCGAUUUCCGACUUUAUCAUCGCGGACUUCUUCUUCGCUUUCUUGGCACCUUUGAGUCGCUCUCAAUUUUAUUUUAAUUUUUUUGCCCACUCCCCGCAGACUCAUGAAUAUCAAAUAACCAAUCAACGUAUAACAAAGUUUUUGAACACUAAUCCAAAGGCGAAUCAAUCAAUGAGGUAGAGGACAAGGACGAACCCAAAUCAAUCAAACUUUUGUGUGCCCAACAAUAUUCGUUUACAUACACAUGAAAAUUUUAAACUUUUGCAAACUGUGAAGCCACGUGCGAAUUUUUUGUUCGACAAAAGAGGUGACAAAAGUAUUCAUAACCCAUCCGAGAGGGGUGUUUAUGUAUAUUUCACCCCUAUCUCGCUUUUCCUGAGGCAACACGGCUGUCUCAGAAUUGAUUACCCCAAAUGCAAAUUGCAGCUAAAUUCAGUUCAGCGAAAGUCAUUUGUCAAAGUGACAAGCCUCCGUUUUUUUUGGUACACAGAGAAC